AAGGGUAUAGCUCAUACGGUAGAGUGCAUGCUUAGCAUGCAGGAGGUCCUGGGUUCAAUCCCCAGUACCUCCA
rfam:Camelus ferus unplaced genomic scaffold scaffold313, whole genome shotgun sequence.